UACGUAGGAGACGAGCAUUGUCCGGAAUUACUGGGCGUAAAGCGCGUGUAGGCGGAUGAGCAAGUCUGCUGUGAAAGCUCCUGGCUUAACCGGGAGUGGUCGGUGGAAACUGCUCGUCUGGAGGACGGUAGAGGUAGGUAGAAUUCCCGGUGUAGUGGUGAAAUGCGUAGAGAUCGGGAGGAAUACCUGUGGCGAAGGCGGCCUACUGGGCCGGACCUGACGCUGAGACGCGAAGGCGUGGGGAGCGAACGGG
rnacentral:rRNA from 1 species